UAUUAACACACACACACUUGACCAAUAAGCCCAGGCCACAACAGCCAGCCCAGCACAGUCACCAAAAAGAUCAGACCUUUCACAGGACCCACCAACCACAUGAAGCCUGGGGUGGAAAGUGAAUAACAGAUCAUGCCGUCACAGUCACCAUUUGUUCCAAUAGAUGAAUAUUUUCUGUUCUCUGUGCUACACACAGCCCUGUAACACCACCACAACAAACACUUGCACUCACACACACAGCAGAACUGAAUCAGCACAGCACCUCAGGAGAAGUGGACCUUCAUGUGCCUGACAAUCUCACCCUUAGUCAUGAAACGUUUCCCACAAACAUCGCACUUGAACCCUUUAUGACCAGAGUGUCUGAAGAGGUGCAUGUCCAAUAUACUCUUCAGUUUGAACCUUUUCCCACAAACUUCACACUCAUGACUCCUUGCAUCAGUGUGUGUAACAAGGUGUAAUUUGAGGUUACCCUUCCAACUGAAACAUUUCCCACAAACUUCACACUCAUGAUUUCUUUCACCAGUGUGUGUAACAAGGUGUAAUUUGAGGUUACCCUUCUGACUGAAACAUUUCCCACAAACUUCACACUCAUGAUUUCUUUCACCAGUGUGUGUAAGAGUGUGUAAUUUGAGGGUACCCUUGUGACUGAAACAUUUCCCACAAACUUCACACUCAUGAUUUCUUUCACCAGUGUGUGUAAGAGUGUGUAAUUUGAGGUUAUCCUUCCGACUGAAACAUUUCCCACAAACUUCACACUCAUGAUUUCUUUCACCAGUGUGUGUAAGAGUGUGUAAUUUGAGGGUACCCUUCUGACUGAAACAUUUCCCACAAACUUCACACUCAUGAUUUCUUUCACCAGUGUGUGUAAGAGUGUGUAAUUUGAGGUUAUCCUUCCGACUGAAACAUUUCCCACAAACUUCACACUCA